GUACUGCUGAUGAGUCCCAAAUAAGACUAAACGGCUGUUCAGUGC
rnacentral:hammerhead_ribozyme from 1 species